rnacentral:rRNA from 1 species
CUACGGGACGCUGCAGUCGAGAAUCUUCCGCAAUGGACGAAAGUCUGACGGAGCGACGCCGCGUGCGGGAUGAAGGCCUUCGGGUUGUAAACCGCUGUCAGUGGGGAGGAAAUGCGCCAGGGUUCUCCCUGGUGUUUGACCGAUCCGCAGAGGAAGCGCAGGCUAAGUUCGUGCCAGCAGCCGCGGUAACACGAACUGCGCGAACGUUAUUCGGAAUCACUGGGCUUAAAGAGUUCGUAGGCGGCCUUUCAAGUCGGGUGUGAAAUCCCUCGGCUCAACCGGGGAAUUGCGCCUGGAUACUAGUGGGCUUGAGGGGGAUAGGGGUGAGCGGAACUGAUGGUGGAGCGGUGAAAUGCGUUGAUAUCAUCAGGAACACCGGUGGCGAAGGCGGCUCACUGGAUCUCUUCUGACGCUGAGGAACGAAAGCUAGGGGAGCGAACGGGAUUAGAUACCCGAGUAGUC